rnacentral:rRNA from 1 species
UACGUAGGGGGCAAGCGUUGUCCGGAUUUAUUGGGCGUAAAGAGCGUGUAGGCGGCUUGGUAGGUCCGCUGUGAAAACUCGAGGCUCAACCUCGAGAUGUCGGCGGAAACCACUUGGCUAGAGUCCGGAAGAGGAGAGUGGAAUUCCUGGUGUAGCGGUGAAAUGCGCAGAUAUCAGGAGGAACACCGGUGGCGAAGGCGGGUCUCUGGGCCGAUAUUGACGCUGAGGAGCGAAAGCGUGGGGAGCGAACAGG